GAACUGAAGAGUUUGAUCCUGGCUCAGAUUGAACGCUGGCGGCAUGCCUAACACAUGCAAGUCGAGCGGCAGCAGGUCCUUCGGGAUGCUGGCGAGCGGCGGACGGGUGAGUAACACGUGGGAAUCUACCUUUCGGUGGGGGAUAGCCCGGGGAAACUCGGAUUAAUACCGCAUAC
rnacentral:rRNA from 1 species